UAAUUAAAUUGAUCAUCUUUGGCCGUAAUGCCUGAGGGAGGGAACCAACCAAAUUGGCCGUUCAAGUGCUGCUGACAAAAUGCAGAGCCAGCCUGCCUGCCUGCUGGCCUGCAUCAUUAUGAAAAUUGCAAAAAUUUGCAACAGCUACCGGUUAACAAAGAGCAAAAAUAAAUAAAAUCCGAAAAGCCAAGCAACACCUUGCCACAAUGCAACAGAAACGGAAACAGAAACCGAAACAAAAACAGAAAUAAAAAUGAAACGCAUUUUUAAUGGA